rnacentral:misc_RNA from 1 species
AACAAGGCGUACCUGCGGACCUGCGGAGGGAUCAUUACAAGUGACCCCGGUUUAACCACCGGGAUGUUCAUAACCCUUUGUUGUCCGACUCUGUUGCCUCCGGGGCGACCCUGCCUUCGGGCGGGGGCUCCGGGUGGACACUUCAAACUCUUGCGUAACUUUGCAGUCUGAGUAAACUUAAUUAAUAAAUUAAAACUUUCAACAAUGGAUCU